GAUGAACGCUGGCGGCGUGCUUAACACAUGCAAGUCGAACGAAGCGCUUUAUUCAGAUUCUUUCGGGAUGAUGGAUUUAGUGACUUAGUGGCGGACGGGUGAGUAACGCGUGGGUAACCUGCCUUACACAGGGGGAUAACAGUUAGAAAUGACUGCUAAUACCGCAUAAAACAGCAGCACCGCAUGGUGCAACUGUCAAAGAUUUAUCGGUGUAAGAUGGACCCGCGUCUGAUUAGCCAGUUGGUGGGGUAACGGCCUACCAAAGCGACGAUCAGUAGCCGACCUGAGAGGGUGACCGGCCACAUUGGGACUGAGACACGGCCCAAACUCCUACGGGAGGCAGCAGUGGGGAAUAUUGGACAAUGGGCGAAAGCCUGAUCCAGCGACGCCGCGUGAGCGAUGAAGUAUUUCGGUAUGUAAAGCUCUAUCAGCAGG
rnacentral:rRNA from 1 species